UACGUAGGGUCCGAGCGUUGUCCGGAAUUAUUGGGCGUAAAGGGCUCGUAGGCGGUCCGUCACGUCGGGAGUGAAAACUCAGGGCUCAACCCUGAGCGUGCUUCGGAUACGGGCGGACUAGAGGUAUGCAGGGGAGAACGGAAUUCCUGGUGUAGCGGUGGAAUGCGCAGAUAUCAGGAGGAACACCGGUGGCGAAGGCGGUGCUCUGGGCAUUACCUGACGCUGAGGAGCGAAAGCAUGGGGAGCGAACAGG
rnacentral:rRNA from 1 species